CGAUCCGUAACUUGUUUUCGUACUUAACAAAAUACGAUUGACAUGGCUUGGUUCUUUGUCCUUACUCAAAUCUCAUCUCCGUCCCCACGUGUUGAGGUAGGACCUGCAAUUCUCACACGUAGAGGGAGAGAGGUGAUUGGAUCAUGGGGGCAGUUUCCCCCACGCUGUUCUCGUGACAGUGAGUGAUUUCUCACGAGAUCUGACAGUUUUAUAAGAGUCUGGCGUUUCCCCUCCUUGUGCUUUUCUCUCGUGUGCCAUGUGAAGAACCUUGCUUCCUCUUUGCCUUCCACCAUGAUUCUUCAGGUGCCUGGAUGUUGAGGGGCAAAUAGGACUGUUCACUGAAGGAGCUAGAGAAUGGAAGAGAAGGUUGUGUCAGAUAGAAAUAACAGAAGCUUUCUGAAAUGAAAACAGAAAUGUUACAACUUGCACCACAGUACUGGACUGAAACGAAGAUGUAACACAGCCAUAAUAAUUUAAAUUAAUAGCAAAUAAAUAAAGAAAAAAAGAACUUCAUUGUGAGGACCAUAGUCAUGGGAUAGCUCUGUCUUUUCGGGGAAAGUGGAGUAGAGGGACAGAGUCACCCCAGGAGAAAAAAUGCUUAAAUUAAGACUCCCUGAGAGACUGAAUAAGAGUAUGAUUAGUUCAGCCUUGCUUUCAUCCUCCACUUCCCCCUCCCACUGUAGACUUCAGUUUUAAUAAUGAUUAAAGAAUAAUGCCUGAAUCCCA
rnacentral:lncRNA from 1 species